rnacentral:lncRNA from 1 species
CAGAGAGUAGAGAGAGAGAGGUAGAGGGACAGAGAGUAGAGAGAGAGAGAGGUAGAGGGACAGAGAGUAGAGAGAGAGAGAGGUAGAGGGACAGAGAGUAGAGAGAGAGAGGUAGACGGACAGAGAGUAGAGAGAGAGAGGUAGAGGGACAGAGAGUAGAGAGAGAGGUAGAGGGACAGAGAGUAGAGAGAGAGAGGUAGAGGAACAGAGUAGAGAGAGAGAGGUAGAGGGACAGAGAGUAGAGAGAGAAGUAGAGGAACAGAGAGUAGAGAGAGAGAAGUAGAGGGACAGAGAGUAGAGAGAGAAGUAGAGGGACAGAGAGUAGAGAGAGAAGUAGAGGGACAGAGAGUAGAGAGAGGUAGAGGGACAGAGAGUAGAGAGAGAGAGAGGUAGAGGGACAGAGAGUAGAGAGAGAGAGGUAGAGGGACAGAGAGUAGAGAGAGAGGUAGAGGGACAGAGAGUAGAGAGAGAGAGGGAGAGGGACAGAGAGUAGAGAGAGAGAGGUAGAGGGACAGAGAGUAGAGAGAGAGGUAGAGGGACAGAGAGUAGAGAGAGAAGUAGAGGCACAGAGAGUAGAGAGAGAGGUAGAGGGACAGAGAGUAGAGAGAGAGAGAGGUAGAGGGACAGAGAGUAGAGAGAGAGAGGUAGAGGGACAGAGAGUAGAGAGAGAGAGGUAGAGGGACAGAGAGUAGAGAGAGAGAGGUCGGGGCAGAGAGUAGAGAGAGAGAGAGGUAGAGGGACAGAGAGUAGAGAGAGAGGUAGAGGGACAGAGAGUAGAGAGAGCGGUAGAGGGACAGAGAGUAGAGAGAGAGGUAGAGGAACAGAGAGUAGAGAGAGAGGUAGAGGGACAGAGAGUAGAGAGAGAGGUAGAGGAACAGAGAGUAGAGAGAGAGGGGUAGAGGGACAGAGAGUAGAGAGAGCGAGAGAGGUAGAGGGACAGAGAGUAGAGAGAGAGAGAGGUAGAGGGACAGAGAGUAGAGAGAGAGAGAGGUAGAGGGACAGAGAGUAGAGAGAGAGAGAGAGUAGAGGGACAGAGAGUAGAGAGAGAGAGAGUAGAGGGACAGAGAGUAGAGAGAGAGGUAGAGGAACAGAGAGUAGAGAGAGAGGUAGAGGGACAGAGAGUAGAGAGAGAGAGGUAGAGGGACAGAGAGUAGAGAGAGAGAGGUAGAGGAACAGAGAGUAGAGAGAGAGAGGUAGAGGGACAGAGAGUAGAGAGAGAAGUAGAGGGACAGAGGGACAGAGAGUAGAGAGAGAGAGGUAGAGGGACAGAGAGUAGAGAGAGAAGUAGAGGGACAGAGAGUAGAGAGAGAAGUAGAGGAACAGAGAGUAGAGAGAGGUAGAGGGACAGAGAGUAGAGAGAGAGAGGUAGAGGGACAGAGAGUAGAGAGAGAGAGGUAGAGGGACAGAGAGUAGAGAGAGAGAGGUAGAGGGACAGAGAGUAGAGAGAGAGAGAGGUAGAGGGACAGAGAGUAGAGAGAGAGAGGUAGAGGGACAGAGAGUGAGAGAGAGAGGUAGAGGGACAGAGAG